UUGGGGAAUUCCCUGUACCGAGAUAUAAAUUUGCUAUCAUACCCUGUUUCUUAGCAAACUCGAUGGAUUUCUCACGAUUCUCUCCUUUCCAACAGAACUCUCGUCUUUCAAUUCAUCCUCCUCCAAUAGUCCCAACCUUUUCUUUUGAGCUUAAAAAAGCAGAUGAAGACAGGGGCUAUGACAAACUCAAAUGAAUGCCAUCAAGAAAGACACACGUAUAAAAUUUCAAUGAUCUCACCUUAGAUUGCAAAGUACUGUUAAUUACAUCACUUAUAAGCUCCCAAUUGGAACCCAAAUCAGGCACCAAAACAAGAAAUUCCUAAAAGGUCAAUAUCAACAUUGAUGCGAUCAUAUCUCUAGAAGUCGAAAGUAAAAAACCAUAUCUCAAUUCUCAAGUUUCAGCAGAUGUAUGUGCACAUGUGCAUAUCUGCGCUGAAUAUGUACAUUUGUAACCCAACCUGGUCCUCAAAUACCAUGUAGACAAAUGAGAUUAUGAGACAGGAAUUUCUAUCUGAAUUGAUGAUUCUUUAGUUUUCCCUUUCUGUAUCUAUGCACAUCUGGGUGAAGGGAAAUGGAAAAAAAAAUGGAAAACAAUCUCUUAAAUUAGGAGAGAACUAACCAGCCUACCUAACUAUGGAAGUGUUUAAAUAUGAUAAAUCAAUUAUCCUUAAAUCAAUCAUUAAUAUCGUACACUCGUUCGGAUUGCUAAACUUGCUUCAUCUGUUACAUCUUGUUAUAAUCUAUUAGGACAUUAAAAAGUCUUGAGAAUUUAUGUAGAACCCCAAAUA
rnacentral:lncRNA from 1 species